ACAGAGAAACUGUCGUAUCCCUUUUUUUUUUAUCGACGGAACUGUGGUAAACCUAAUUUGAUCUUCUCUAUCCUUUCCACUUCCACAUCUUCCAUUACUCCUCUCCAAAUCCGUUUCAACGUAUUCACCACUAUCUGCUCUAAUCAAUCCUUGCUUGAACUCAUUCAAUGGAUUCCUUUCACCUUCCUCUCCAUUUGUGAUUAACUAUGAAUUGGAGAGGAGAGAUUGAGACGGAAGAUGUGGAGCGUACACGAGGUGUAUACAGGUACGCCAAAGCCUACCUAUUCUGAAACUUUGAUGUUACUUUCAUUUGUCUUUCACUCUACCAGUUUAGUCUGGCUGUCUGUAUUCGUCUUACCAAAAAUUACAGAGAAUGCCAAAAAUAUGGUUGCUUGCUCCUCAGUUUGAAAUCCGGCAACUGAAUCUUGCCGUUGCUUGGCAGAGAUUGAGAAACACUGUUGGGAAAGCUCCAAAAGAUAAGAUAUUCAAGAAAAAUACAUUGUGAUUGAGCUCCAGCUGGGAAAAAUAGAAAAGAUGUAGAAAGCUUUAUGAGCGUUAUCUUCAUUGAUCUCCAGAGAAUUGCUACAUUGAGCUUGCAAUAUAUCAGCCAGUGCUUGACAUGCCUUUACUGCUAUAGGCGUACAUAGAUUUUGAGAUAGCAGAAGGAAAAUUAGAAAGGACACGAGGAUUAUAUGAGUGACUCUUGGACAACCCAAAGCAUUACAAGGUGUGGGUUAGUUUUGCAAAGUUUGAAGCUUCUGCUGCGGAACAAGAAGAAGACAAGGAAGAGGAAGACCAGACGAAAUAGAUGCUAUUGAACUCAAGAAAAAGUGCAUCAGACGUGCCAGAGGAAACUUUAAAAACUACAUGUUAUAUGACUUUUGAUUAUAAUGUUAAGACAUGUUUUAACUGUUUUCUCUCUCCAUUUUCUUUCUUCUGCUCAGCUUUUUUUUUUUUUGUAAAAUGCUCAGCUAUUUUCGAGAGAGCCAACAGCUACUACAAAGAAUGCACCAGAGUUGAAAGAAGCACGAGCUACACUAUUGAAAGAUUGGAGACAAACUUUGGUAAUCUCGGGGAUGUGAGUGUGGUACACUCUAAAGUUCUCUGUACAUCGCCACUUAUCCUUUAUGAUUUUGCUGUUAUCUUUUUGAUUGUGUUAGCAAAAAAAAACUCAGUUUGUUAUUGUUUUUGUUCUUUUUGGCAUUAGACCUUUAGGUUUGUGUUUUCCGGUUUAGAAAAUAUGGUACAAUCGGGAAUCUAAAUUCCGGUUAUUAUUUCUGA